UACAGAGGGUGCAAGCGUUAAUCGGAAUUACUGGGCGUAAAGCGUGCGUAGACGGUUAUUUAAGUCAGGUGUGAAAGCCCAGGGCUCAACCUUGGAAUUGCAUUUGAGACUGAAUAGCUAGGGUGCGGAAGAGGGAAGCGGAAUUUCCGGUGUAGCGGUGAAAUGCGUAGAUAUCGGAAGGAACACCAGUGGCGAAGGCGGGUCUCUGGGCAAUAACUGACGCUGAGGAGGCGGAAAGCGUGGGGAGCGAACAGG
rnacentral:rRNA from 1 species